rnacentral:rRNA from 1 species
GAUGAACGCUGGCGGCGUGCCUAAUACAUGCAAGUCGAGCGAACAGACGAGGAGCUUGCUCCUCUGACGUUAGCGGCGGACGGGUGAGUAACACGUGGAUAACCUACCUAUAAGACUGGGAUAACUUCGGGAAACCGGAGCUAAUACCGGAUAAUAUAUUGAACCGCAUGGUUCAAUAGUGAAAGACGGUUUUGCUGUCACUUAUAGAUGGAUCCGCGCCGCAUUAGCUAGUUGGUAAGGUGACGGCUUACCAAGGCAACGAUGCGUAGCCGACCUGAGAGGGUGAUCGGCCACACUGGAACUGAGACGCGGUCCAGACUCCUACGGGAGGCAGCAGUAGGGAAUCUUACGCAAUAGGCGAAAGCUUGACGGAGCAACGCCGCGUGAGAUAUGAAGGUCUCCGGAUCGUAAAACUCUGUUAUUAGGGAAGAACAAAUGUGUAAGUAACUAUGCACGUCUUGACGGUACCUAGUCAGAAAGCCACGGCUAACUACGUG